rnacentral:ncRNA from 1 species
UAGUUACUUAUAGUUUACACGAAAAAGUUUAAUUUUAGCUUACUAAUUAAUGGAAUGAUUAUUUUAUAUGCUUGAAAAUAUGUAUUAAAAUGCAGUAUUUUAUAUUACACAACCUAAGUGGGUGUAGUUAUCAUAAAAUAAGUGAAUCAAUGUGUGCCAGCAUUCGCGGUUACACCCAUACUUGUUUUAAUUAAAUUUAGUAAAAUUUAAAGUGAUGGUUUAAUUCUGGUAUAAAUGCUUUACACAGGUAAAAUUGGUAUGUUGUAAGUAAGGGGUAUGGGCAUUUUAAAGGAAAUUAUUUAUAUAACCUGGAUUAGAUACCCAGUUAAUUUAAUUAAAUUUUGUUACUUAAGUAGUAAAGUGGUCUAAACUUAAAGAAUUUGGCGGUACUUUCACAUAUCAGAGGAACCUGUUGAGUAAAUGAUAGCCCACGAUUGACGUUACUCUUUUAAUACUUAUGUAUUGUUGUUAUAAGAAUUAAUCUUGGGAGAUUUUUCUAAGUCUCUGUGAGAAGUAAGACAAAUCAAAGUGUAGUGUAUAAAAGAGUUUUAAUUGGUUACAAUUAUUUAAAAUAAUGGAGCUUGACUUUGAACGAGUGAAGUGAAAAUGGAUUUGUGUGUAAAAUUAUAUAAAAUAUGUGGUUUGACAUGUGUUCUAAAGUAUGUACACAUCGCCCGUCGCUCUCAUUUAUUGUGAGAUAAGUCGUAACAAAGUAGAUCUGCCGGAAGGGGGAUCUUGUUAG